GGUGAUCGCUGGCGGCGUGCUUAACACAUGCAAGUCGAGCGAAUUUCAGCAGCGUAUCGCUGAAGUUAGCGGCAGACGGGUGAGUAAUACUUGGGCAAUCUGCCCUUGAGUGGGAAACAACCUGCCGAAAGGCGGGCUAAUGUCCCAUAAGACCACAGGAUGGCAUCAUCCAGGGGUCAAAGCUCCGUAAGGGGCGCUUGAGGAGGAGCCCGAGUCCUANCAUGGUAGUUGGUGAGGUAACGGCUCACCAAGCCUUUGACGGGUAGCCGGCCUGAAAGGGUGAUCGGCCACACUGGCACUGAGACACGGGCCAGACUCCUACGGGAGGCAGCAGUGGGGAAUUUUGGACAAUGGGGCAACCCUGAUCCAGCGACGCCGCGUGAAGGAUGAAGGUCUUCGGAUUGUAAACUUCUUUUGAU
rnacentral:rRNA from 1 species